rnacentral:hammerhead_ribozyme from 3 species
AGCCGAAACCGCCGCAAGGCGGUCUAUGGGAACCGACCACCCCAUACUGAUGAUGGCAGGUCAAA